rnacentral:rRNA from 1 species
CCUACGGGAUGCUGCAGUGAGGAAUAUUGGUCAAUGGUCGGGAGACUGAACCAGCCAAGCCGCGUGAGGGAUGAAGGUACAGAGUAUCGUAAACCUCUUUUGUCAGGGAACAAAGGCGGGGACGUGUCCCCGGAUGAGUGUACCUGAAGAAAAAGCAUCGGCUAACUCCGUGCCAGCAGCCGCGGUAAUACGGAGGAUGCGGGCGUUAUCCGGAUUUCUUGGGUUUAAAGGGUGCGCAGGCGGUCUGUUAAGUCAGCGGUAAAAGCCCGGUGCUCAACCCCGGACGGCCGUUGAAACUGGCAGGCUUGAGUUGGAGAGAGGUAUGCGGAAGGCGCGGUGUAGCGGUGAAAUGCAUAGAUAUCGCGCAGAACUCCGAUUGCGAAGGCAGCAUGCCGGCGCCACACUGACGCUGAGGCACGAAAGCGUGGGUAUCGAACAGGAUUAGAUACCCUUGUAGUC